AAUGGGCGCAAGCCUGAUCUAGCCAUGCCGCGUGAGUGAUGAAGGCCUUAGGGUCGUAAAGCUCUUUCGCCUGUGAAGAUAAUGACUGUAGCAGGUAAAGAAACCCCGGCUAACUCCGUGCCAGCAGCCGCGGUAAUACGGAGGGGGUUAGCGUUGUUCGGAAUUACUGGGCGUAAAGCGCGCGUAGGCGGACAUUUAAGUCAGAGGUGAAAUCCCAGGGCUCAACCCUGGAACUGCCUUUGAUACUGGGUGUCUUGAGUUCGAGAGAGGUGAGUGGAAUUCCGAGUGUAGAGGUGAAAUUCGUAGAUAUUCGGAGGAACACCAGUGGCGAAGGCGGCUCACUGGCUCGAUACUGACGCUGAGGUGCGAAAGUGUGGGGAGCAAACAGGAUU
rnacentral:rRNA from 1 species